CCUACGGGAGGCAGCAGCAAGGAAUUUUCGUCAAUGGGCGCAAGCCUGAACGAGCAACGCCGCGUGUGGGAUGACGGCCUUCGGGUUGUAAACCACUUUUUAGGGGGACGAUCAUGACGGUACCCCUGGAAUAAGCCCCGGCUAACUCUGUGCCAGCAGCCGCGGUAAUACAGAGGGGGCAAGCGUUGUCCGGAAUUACUGGGCGUAAAGCGUACGCAGGUGGCCGUGCAAGUGUGAUGUGAAAGCCCCGCGCUUAACGCGGGGAGGCCAUUACAGACUGCAUAGCUCGAGGAAUGCAGAGGGUUGUGGAAUUGCCGGUGUAGUGGUGAAAUGCGUAGAGAUCGGCAGGAACACCAAGGACGAAGGUAGCAACCUGGGCAUUUCCUGACACUCAUGUACGACAGCGUGGGGAGCGAACCGGAUUAGAUACCCGGGUAGUCCACGCCGUAAACGAUGGAUGCUCGGCGUGUGGCGGCUAUCAACGCCGCUGGGCGCCUCNGCUGACGCGGAGCACUCCCGCCGUCGGAACGACGACGCGCGAGACUUAAACCUACAAAGGAAGUUAGACGGCGUGAGACGUGCCGACGGACGACGACGAGGGAGGAGG
rnacentral:rRNA from 1 species